GAAGGAAUGUUGAUUACGCCUCACGUUUACAAAUAUAGAAAGCCGAGUCAUCAGUUUAAAUGGCCCACUAAUGAUUAUAUCUGGCAGAACUACAGACUUUGAUCUGACCAGUUAGUGGUAAUUUAUGAAGAGCAGAAGGUCUUGUCUCAGCACAUAUGCCCGAGGAGGAUCUACGACAACUACGACCAAGGUGGAGAUAGUGAACACUCACUCAAAAGAUAACUAUGCUGUAUCUGUUGAAGCAACCCAAAUGUUUAGCCUCUCCGACACCCUCAGAUAGCUCAGUAAUCUCUGUAAGAAUGGGGACACUUGAGCAAGAGAAUAACACAAAUGCUUUUCAGUAAAUUCCCUGGAGAUGAGAAAGAAUUGUUGUUUGUCUGGAGGUAUAAAUUGGCAGAGAACUUGGAUUUCAUCUUCAGAUCUAACUGAGAUUCAAAACUGGAACCAACAGAUGACCUUACGCAGUGCCACUUUGGCUUGAAGCUCAUCAUCUCUGGGACAGUCACUCAAAGCAGUGUAAUUUAGGAUGGGCCGGUGCAAGGAUAACCAAGGUCAGAGGCCAUUAGUAGCUAGAAACAAAAUGCCAUAUGUUUCCAAAUCUGGAUUUGUUCAACUCUGAAAAAGAGGACUAGCAGCUGGAUGUCCAACCAGGGCAGAGACGGAUUCAUGGCACUAACACUUCGGCUUAAAUAAAACCGGUGCGUCCAGUCCUACCAAUUAGAGGAAUCGACAGAGGAUGAUACAUAGUCAAGAGAGUUCUCCCACAGUAUUACAUCCAUGUCAGACUCUGUGCUCCAGACAUCCAUGGGGUUCUUUGCAAAAUCCCAAGACUCCUUGCAGUGGGAGCCAUCUGCACAUAAAAUGUUUCAGAUUAGCUUUUAUUUUGAAAUGAUCAUUUAGAACAGACUGGAAGUCAUCCUGCUCAGUCACUUUGGACAACAAAGGAAGAUUGGAUUGACUCAAAAUGACAGUAUUAUGUAUUGUAUAAGUGAGAUGGGACACAGCAGAAUUCCAUUUACAUUGUCCCGAGUUAUGGCCUUAGUCUGAGUCAUUUCAUGCACUGACUUGACAGUUGUAGUUUAUGUUUUCUGUCCAUAUGGCCUCUCGUGAGAGUCCUGAAUUAGCAGCAGCAGUUCUGAACCAGUGACGUUCAUGAUCUGUUGACCUGUUAAAGGUUUAACAAUGAAUAUUGUAAUAUCUGCUUUAGGUAACUUCUGGUCGAAGUGGCGCUUGGGUACACCAUUCCCAUGGUUGACAUCUUCUGGGUAGAUCAUGAAACCAUCCAUUUCACUUACUUUGUCCUUUACAUUUUUUUUCAUUUUGAAUGUGAUUCUGGAACUGUUGGAGCCGGUGGAUUUGCAGUUUGGGUGUUUCAGUGCUCUGCAGCCUCCGAGAGGAUUCUGGGAGGCAGACGCAGUGUGCAUGGGCCUUGUGAUGAAAAGCCCGUGGAAUGGGACAUGAGCCUGUUUUCGACUCUAUUUUGCUGAUUAAAACUUUCCUCGUGCGCCGAUUAAGGUGAUGAGGGAGAUUGAAAUAUCGAAGUGAAUGUGAAGGGUGAGCGCUGGCUGCCUGCCUUUUGAUCGCUGGUGAGAUCGCUCUGCUGCUGGAGAGGGGAGACUGAUUUUUGAUCGCUGAUGGGAUCUCUUUGCUUCUGGAGAGGGGAGACUGCCUUUUGAUUACUAGUGGGAUCACUCUGCUGCCAGAGAGGGAAGUUAUCCAGGUUUUGGAUAUGAACUUGAACUGUGGGAUUUUUUUCAGUCUUAUAGUUUUUUAUA